rnacentral:rRNA from 1 species
GACAGAGGUGCCAAGCGUUAGGCGGAAUCACUGGGCUUAAAGCGUGUGUAGGCGGGUCGUUAAGUACCUUGUGAAAUCCCCCGGCUCAACCGGGGAACGGCUGGGUAUACUGGCGAUCUUGAGCGACCUAGGGGCAGUCGGAACAAGUGGUGGAGCGGUGAAAUGCGUAGAUAUCACUUGGAACGCCAACGGCGAAAGCAGGCAGCUGGGGAUGCACCGACGCUGAGACACGAAAGCCAGGGGAGCGAACGGG